rnacentral:lncRNA from 1 species
AUUUCCCAGUUUUCUAAAAUUCUCCUUUUCCAUUUCUUUUUCCUCAGACAGCUAGUAUCUCUCUGAUUUUACCUGAAACUUUUAUGUGCCCAGAUAAGCAGCAGAGGGAUUGUGAAGUUCACCCCAUCCUCUCGUGUCUUAGGAUCAGAUCUCUUCCCGUGGAAGCUGUUAGUUAAUGAGUUCAGGAGGAUGUUGAAUUGCCCUGCUAGAGAGAUGCUGAUCUGCAGUAACCACUGUGCCCAGAGGAGAGCAGCAGGGACAAGGUAUGUUUCCAGGCUUCUAAAGAAGAUCGCCCAGAAGCAACAUAAUUAUGGCCAUCUCACAGUCUAUUUGUGAAGAUAUGUGUGUUGAGGGUGAUGCUUGGCAUAGCGUAAUGUUUUGUUUGUUUGUUUGUUUUUUGUUUUUUUAGCUAGUACAAUAAAUGUUUUUACCCAGCUCUAGUUAGUGAUCUA